UACGUAGGCAGCGAGCGUUGUUCGGAAUUACUGGGCGUAAAGAGUGUGUAGGCGGUGCUCUAAGUUCGGUGUGAAAUCUCCUGGCUUAACUGGGAGGGUGCGCCGGAAACUGGAGUGCUUGAGCGUGGGAGAGGAAAGCGGAAUUCCUGGUGUAGCGGUGAAAUGCGUAGAUAUCAGGAGGAACACCUGUGGUGUAGACGGCUUUCUGGACCGUAACUGACGCUGAUACACGAAAGCGUGGGUAGCAAACAGG
rnacentral:rRNA from 1 species